AUUGAACGCUGGCGGCAUGCCUUACACAUGCAAGUCGAACGGUAACGCGGGGCAACCUGGCGACGAGUGGCGAACGGGUGAGUAAUGCAUCGGAACGUGCCCAGAAGUGGGGGAUAGCCCGGCGAAAGCCGGAUUAAUACCGCAUGAGACCUGAGGGUGAAAGCGGGGGAUCGCAAGACCUCGCGCUUUUGGAGCGGCCGAUGUCAGAUUAGCUAGUUGGUGGGGUAAAGGCCUACCAAGGCGACGACCUGUAGCUGGUCUGAGAGGACGACCAGCCACACUGGGACUGGGACACGGCCCAGACUCCUACGGGAGGCAGCAGUGGGGAAUUUUGGACAAUGGGCGCAAGCCUGAUCCAGCCAUGCCGCGUGCGGGAAGAAGGCCUUCGGGUUGUAAACCGCUUUUGUCAGGGAAGAAACGCUCUGGGCUAAUACCCUGGGGUAAUGACGGUACCUGAAGAAUAAGCACCGGCUAACUACGUGCCAGCAGCCGCCGCGG
rnacentral:rRNA from 1 species